GUGCCCACGUCGCACGGCGUGGUCCUUCAGGGGAACCAGGAACUGUGGUGCAGCCAAGCGCUCCUGGGAUCUUUGUGGGGACCUGAAAAAUGUUCCCCAUAGUUGGAUGGCUAUGAUGGUACCAGAUCUCACAGCACUGCAUCUGAACGUGGGCCCGCUAUCCCCAGCCUAUGCUCACCAGGGGGCGGCAUGGCCGGCACCCCCUGCUCGAGUGCGACGGGCUCCCCGACGCCGCCUUCGUUAACGGCGCGGAUACGGAAGCAGUACUUCAUGCGGUCCUGCAGGCCUCCCACUGUGUAGCUGGUGCCAGCGAUGGGGACCUUGGUGCACUUUGACCACUCCUUGGCGUCGUCAGGGCGCAUCUCCAGGAUGUAGCCUGAAGGGUCAUCGCCUUGCUGCGGGGGCCACCAGCCCAGAGAGAUGGAGGAACUGGACGAGUCGGUCACAUAUCAAUCGAAGAGACGCGAGUGGACUAAACACAGCGACAUGACCUUCACCUCUGCUGAAGAACAUCUCGCAGGCAUCUGGGCCACAUGCCACCUAAUAAAUCCUAGAUGAUUUAUUGUGUUCAGUGGAAUAAAACCUUCUAGAGGCUCGAGGUGACUGAAAUGGGCCAAAUUUGAAUAACUCAGUGCUCGUCUGCAUCUAAAAAACAUAUGUUCACUGAGUUAAUAAGUAGAAAUUGUGGAAUAUAGCAAAUUUUGGAAUGUGUGUAUAAGUAAGAAAAUAUAUCAUAUGGCAAACCCAUGUAGAUAAGAGUAUAGGGAAUAGAUAUUGCGGUGGCAUAAAAUAGUCACUUAAAUACAAAGGUCUAUUUUCAAGGGGGAUGAAUAAAGCCAAAUUAAAUACUAAGGGAGCACGACCCCCCUGUCCUCCCCUGUUCUUAAGCCCCUGCAUGUUGAAAUGCACAAAGGCACCCCAGUAAGACAUUAGAGUAUGUGUGGGUUCAUGCUUCAAUGAGCACGCAAGCAUGGAGCAUGUGGAUGGCCCUGCAGGUGCCACAUUGCAAUGCGACUGCUGGCAAACUCGCCUAUGAC